rnacentral:rRNA from 1 species
UACGUAGGCAGCAAGCGUUGUUCGGAGUUACUGGGCGUAAAGAGUGUGUAGGCGGUUCUCUAAGUCUGGUGUGAAAUCUCCCGGCUCAACUGGGAGGGUGCAUUGGGAACUGGAGGGCUCGAGUGUGGGAGAGGAAAGCGGAAUUCCUGGUGUAGCGGUGAAAUGCGUAGAUAUCAGGAGGAACACCUGUGGUGUAGACGGCUUUCUGGACCACCACUGACGCUGAGACACGAAAGCGUGGGGAGCAAACAGG